UCGCCUGCAUGAAGUCGGAAUUGCUAGUAAUCGCGGAUCAGCAUGUCGCGGUGAAUACGUUCCCGGGUCUUGUACACACCGCCCGUCACACCAUGGGAGUUGGUAACGCCCGAAGCCAGUGACCCAACCGGAAACGGAGGGAGCUGUCGAAGGUGGGACCGAUAACUGGGGUGAAGUCGUAACAAGGUAUC
rnacentral:rRNA from 1 species